rnacentral:rRNA from 1 species
CCUACGGGAGGCAGCAGUGAGGAAUAUUGGUCAAUGGACGAGAGUCUGAACCAGCCAAGUCGCGUGAAGGAUGACUGCCCUAUGGGUUGUAAACUUCUUUUAUAUGGGAAUAAAAUGUUACACGUGUGGGAUUUUGUAUGUACCAUAUGAAUAAGGAUCGGCUACCUCCGUGCCAGCAGACGCGGUAAUACGGAGGAUCCGAGCGUUAUCCGGCUUUAUUGGGUUUAAUGGGAGCGGAGGUGGAGUGUUAAGUCAGUUGUGAAAGUUUGCGGCUCAACCCUAAAAUUGCAGUUGAAACUGGCAUUCUUGAGUACAGUAGAGGUAGGCGGAAUUCGUGGUGUAGCGGUGAAAUGCUUAGAUAUCACGAAGAACUCCGAUGGCGAAGGCAGUUCACUGGACUGCAACUGACACUGAGGCUCGAAAGUGUGGGUAUCAAACAGGAUUAGAUACCCGGGUAGUC